CUGUGCUGUGCGUUGAGCGCGCGACUUCCCUCCAAGAUUGACUUCCGUGGCUUUAGAGGACAGGACACGUCUUGACUCCAAUGCCAAAAAAAGUUACAGAGGCCUCUAUCUCGGAAUCAAGUUUAGGCUUAAUGGAAAGAACCAACCUCUUGUUUUUGAGUACCCUGCUGUGAUCACAUGAAGAAAAGGUGUUGCUUGCUAAAAUCAUCUAUGCUGAAAAGCAGUCUUAAUGUGCUAUGACUCAUCCCUCAUGUUAUAUAUUUCUUAAAAGGUGUUUCAGUCUUGCAGAGCACCUACAAGGUGCUAGUGAGAACUGGAAACAAUUGCUGAGAAGAUUGGCUUUGUGGUGGAUACAUUUGUUAAUGAGCCAAAUCUAGACAUCCAGAGCCAGUGGGACGGCAAGUUGCUUGUGUGUUCACAGUAUCUCCUCAAAAUGCAGUUUGGAUCCUGUCUGGCCAUGCAGGUGAGGAAAAUACUUUGAGGACGACAAAGAGAUGAAUUCCUGACUACCUGAUCUGCCCUU